GACGAACGCUGGCGGCGUGCUUAACACAUGCAAGUCGAACGGAAAGGCCCCCUUGUGGGGUACUCGAGUGGCGAACGGGUGAGUAACACGUGAGUAACCUACCCUUGACUUUGGGAUAACUUCAGGAAACUGGGGCUAAUACCGGAUAGGAGCUCCUGCUGCAUGGUGGGGGUUGGAAAGUUUCGGCGGUUGGGGAUGGACUCGCGGCUUAUCAGCUUGUUGGUGGGGUAGUGGCUCACCAAGGCUUUGACGGGUAGCCGGCCUGAGAGGGUGACCGGCCACAUGGGGACUGAGAUACGGCCCAGACUCCUACGGGAGGCAGCAGUGGGGAAUAUUGCACAAUGGGCGGAAGCCUGAUGCAGCAACGCCGCGUGCGGGAUGACGGCCUUCGGGUUGUAAACCGCUUUCGCCUGUGACGAAGCGGGAGUGACGGUAAUGGGUAAAGAAGCACCGGCUAACUACGUG
rnacentral:rRNA from 1 species